GAUGAACGCUAGCGGCAGGCUUAAUACAUGCAAGUCGAGGGGCAGCACGGGUAGCAAUACUUGGUGGCGACCGGCGCACGGGUGCGUAACACGUAUACAAUCUACCUUAAACAGGGGGAUAGCCUUUCGAAAGAGAGAUUAAUACCCCGUAACAAAUUGAGUGGCAUCACUUGAUUUUGAAAGUUCCGACGGUUUAAGAUGAGUAUGCGUCCGAUUAGCUAGUUGGUGGUGUAAUGGACCACCAAGGCGACGAUCAGUAGGGGAUCUGAGAGGACUACCCCCCACACUGGUACUGAGACACGGACCAGACUCCUACGGGAGGCAGCAGUAAGGAAUAUUGGUCAAUGGAGGCAACUCUGAACCAGCCAUGCCGCGUGCAGGAAGACGGCCCUAUGGGUUGUAAACUGCUUUUGUACCAGAGAAAACCUACUCACGUGUGAGUAGCUGAUAGUAUGGUAAGAAUAAGCAUCGGCUAACUUCGUGCCAGCAGCCGCUGUAAAAC
rnacentral:rRNA from 1 species